AGACAAUGUCUUCGAAUCAGCUGUGGUAGUCGAGAACAGCAGAGGACCGCCGCCCACUGUACAACCAGCUCUUGUUGAACCUGGACAGCAGUGUCCCAUGUGUCAAAUAUUUUUCCCACCCAACUGUUCACAACGUGAUUUUACACAACAUGUCAAUUCACACUUUAAAGAUUGAGUGGGUGUCACGUAAUGUAUUAAUAUACUGUUGUGUUACAAAGCACCACGUACGUUCUGCUCUUUUAUAUACAUGUAUUACUAGAUAUUGAGCUUUAGUGGGUCUUCAAUGGAACACAAUUUUCAAUGUCACUUAGCUCGUACCAACGUGCGUUAGGUGCGAGAGUGUUUAUUAUCGCAAAAAAACACCUGUAAAGGAACUUCUGUUGAUUUAUAUUUCCAUGCUCCAUUACUUAAUAUUUUUUAAUAAAGAAAAGCACCAAAAAUUUCAUAAUUUUGGCAUAAUAUAAUUUAUGUAGAAUCAGGGUUUAUGUACAAUCAGGUUCUAUAUACUUAGUCCAUGGCUGCAGAAGUUGACGAUUCACGCGCCAUUAUGGAGCGAUGGAAAAUAUUCUGCAAGAUCCUAGCCACAAAUUCAAAUUUACAUGCCAAAAUGUGUACACUUCAAAAGUUUAAAUUGAAAUUUCUGAACAUACAACUGAAAUCAAGUGCAAAACCAUGUGGAUGGAGUGGAAGCACUUAUCGCCUAUUAUUUAAUAUGGAGCUGUUUACUUGAUCCCGGUGCUGGGACGGGUUGGAAUCAUGGGAGGCAGGAUGAUUUUGACACAUUGAAAUAAAUACUAGGCUUGAACGAAAGUUCAAACGUGGGUUAAAAUAACUCAAACGUUGUCGAGAAUAUCUCGUAGUUCAAGAAGAUUAUCAUUGCUGCUUGAGCAAGCUUUCGUUCCCAAUUAUGCUCUAAUCUUUAACUAGGAAAAUAAUGAAGUUUUGCUGAAUCGUACACCGUGACUUCAAUACAUCAAAAUUAUCUCACCUCACAUAUCGUAUCGGCACAGAGGAUCAUGUAAGCAGCCCCUAAUUGGGGAGAAUAUCUCUCAUUCCCAAACAUUUUCAAAAAAUUAAUUGGCUAAAAAUCAUUUAAGCCAAAUGAAAAAGGUAUUAGGGUUUGGAUCUGCCUGAUUUUCCAUUCCUAACUUUGGUCCACUUAGUGGUCUCCACAUCGCCAUGCCUACCUCCGUUCGGAAGAUAGGCUACCUCUACAAAACGUAAAGCUACAGGCAUGGAAUUCACACUUAGUUAAGGAUCUGCAUUUUAAAUAUUGCGACACGGGGAAUGAUUGACUGACUGUAUGAUGUCACGACGCUCAUUGUGUGUCUGUAAUUUCCCGUUGAGAUUUUUGCUUUUGUAAUCAAAAUUAAGUAUAUCCAAGAAUGGAAAAUAAUCUACAGAGAAGAUAGUUUCCACUUUCACGAGUUCGUUUAAGACACAUGUAUCUCAUAAACAGCUUCGUUUGAUAAUGAUGAACUUUAAUAAUAUAUAUAUAUAUACAGCAGUACAGUACAUACUGCAAUUAUGAUUAGAUAUAUAGACACAACAUUAAUCCGUAUAUGGUUUACAAGCAUUUGUAGACACCAACGACAUGUAAAAGUAAUUUGUGGAAAACUCCAAAACAAAUUCUGACAAGUUUUAGGUUUACAACCGCGGUGAAAAGAUGGAAUGCGCGCUUGUGCGAAAGCCGGGUAGCACUAUCCAGCGGACAGUUUUUUCAACCUUUGUAAAGAUGGUUGAAAAGCUUUAAAACUACUUCACAAUUAAUAGAAAGAAACUUUAAUUUAUUAAUAGUAAAGUUUAAUCCGGGUUAUACAAUUUUUAGAACGCUCGAAAAACCGCUAUCCUGUGGAUAGCGCUAUCCAGCUGUGAUUACGUGGGUAAAAUAUAGCCGGGGUUAAUCCCAUAGUGAACAAAUCUACAUAAUGCAUUUAUUUUAAGUGGUAUUAAUUUGGGUAAAAAACGAAUAUAUAACUGACAAUGGGUCAAGGUAAUGUAAAGCUGUGCUUUAACUUCGUAUCUGUUCUAUUGCAAUUACGAGCUCUCCAAUAUCUUCGAGUCAGCUGUGAUAGUCGAGACUAGCCUCUCCCUUAGGGUGGUCGACAAAAAAUAAAUCGCCAGUUGGCCCCAGACCUUUAUUCUGGUUUAUUUUAGAUGUAAUUUUGAGUUAGGGUUGGUUUAAAUUUGAGUACGAGUUCAGGCUCGAUUUCUAUAUGGAGCUCGUCUUGUGAGUGGACGAAAAAUUUGAUUUGACAUUUUAAUUGGCAAGCACUCGCUUGCACUUAGAAUGGAUCUAAACUUAGCAAUUAACACUCAAAGCUCAUUUUUCAAAGUUCCAAAGUUUACCAGCCAGCGUUGCAAUAUUUUGACCCAUUUCAUGUAGUCGAUAAUAGCGAUUUUAUGUAUAUACCUUUAAGUAUUUCUUGUAACGUUGUAGUGCACUGAUUUUCAGAAAAACGUGUAGAGAUAAAUAUAACUCAACAAUUAACUAUACGUGUGGCAUUGAUUUCAUCUCUAUUCAGCCUUUUAAGUGGCUGUCUCACUAAGAACCAUGCAG
rnacentral:lncRNA from 1 species